rnacentral:rRNA from 1 species
UACAGAGGGUGCGAGCGUUGUCCGGAAUCACUGGGCGUAAAGGGCGCGUAGGCGGCCCGGUAAGUAGGGGGUGAAAUCCUGCGGCUUAACCGCAGGGCUGCCUUCUAAACUGUCGGGCUCGAGCACGGUAGAGGCAGAUGGAAUUCCCGGUGUAGCGGUGGAAUGCGUAGAGAUCGGGAAGAACAUCAGUGGCGAAGGCGGUCUGCUGGGCCGUUGCUGACGCUGAGGCGCGACAGCGUGG